rnacentral:lncRNA from 1 species
ACCUUACAUCAUAAAACAACUAAAAACACCUAAAUAGCAUGAAAUUCAUCAAAGUCCAUUAUCCAAUUUCUCUCUUGAAAAUUUCAGCCAAGGAAUGUGGGUGAAGGGCAUGAAAUUUCUUGCUUGUUUUUCAUGCUAAACAUCACCAACAACUAAAAACACUAAGAUACCUUGAAAUCUAACCAAAUAAAUCAUCAAAUCUUCUCUCCCUAAAUUCGGUCAGCCAUGAAUCCUUCAUGAGAUCUUGAAUUUUAACCAUGGUAAUUGAAAAAUAAUGCAUAGGAAAGGUAGAUCACAAGCUAGAAUUAAGAAAUUUUAACUUUACUUGCUUAAUUCCUUGAAAUCCAAUAAAUUUUCUCUUGAUUUUCUUCUCUAGGGUUUGUUCUAUGCUUUUUCCCUUUUGUUCUUGCCUUGGCCAGCC